UCAAAUGGAGAUUGCUCCAAAAAGAACCACAUGAAUUGGCCUUUUGGUGUGAAAGUUAUCCCACUUUGAAGUUCAAAAUUUCUUGACAAUGAUUUGAUCAUAACGUGCCAACCAUUAAUGAGAAAUGGAUGUUCUUGGACUUUUUGGAAAGGUGAGAGCAAGAUCUUCAACUUUCAUGUUGGACAAAAUUUCAUUUGAAGCAUGCUUGAUGAUGUAAAUUUGAGGAGAAAACCUUUCCAUUUUUGGCAGUUUGAAAUUACAGGUCACUUACUACU
rnacentral:lncRNA from 1 species